GGAUGUGAGGGCAAUCUGGCUGUGACAUCUAUUACCUCAUUGAUCACCAGGGUUAAUUUGGCUGAUCUGGCUGGCUAGGUGGGUAUCCCCUUCAUCCCUCACCACUCCAUGUAAGUCCCUCCUGAAGCUCCACACUUGAUCAAAGAGGACUACCUUCCCUGAUAGAGGAGGACCAUUCUUUGAUCAAAGGUAUAUAAGUAGCUGCGCUCUCCUGCUAGAACCUUCAAAACAAGCUCUCAAGAAUGAGGAGACCCACAGGGAGGAAGUGAAAGGUUUGAGGAAGAAGAGAAGGAGUUU
rnacentral:snRNA from 1 species